rnacentral:rRNA from 1 species
UACGAAGGGGGCUAGCGUUGUUCGGAAUUACUGGGCGUAAAGCGCACGUAGGCGGACAUUUAAGUCAGGGGUGAAAUCCCGGGGCUCAACCCCGGAACUGCCUUUGAUACUGGGUGUCUCGAGUCCGGAAGAGGUGAGUGGAACUCCGAGUGUAGAGGUGAAAUUCGUAGAUAUUCGGAAGAACACCAGUGGCGAAGGCGACUUACUGGUCCGAUACUGACGCUGAGGCGCGAAAGCGUGGGGAGCAAACAGG